rnacentral:rRNA from 1 species
CGGGGGGGCAAGCGUUGUUCGGAAUUACUGGGCGUAAAGCGUGCGCAGGCGGUUAUGUAAGACAGUUGUGAAAUCCCCGGGCUCAACCUGGGAACUGCAUCUGUGACUGCAUAGCUAGAGUACGGUAGAGGGGGGAUGGAAUUCCGCGUGUAGCAGUGAAAUGCGUAGAUAUGCGGAGGAACACCGAUGGCGAAGGCAAUCCCCUGGACCUGUACUGACGCUCAUGCACGAAAGCGUGGGGAGCAAACAGGAUUAGAUACCCUGGUAGUCCACGCCCUAAACGAUGUCAACUGGUUGUUGGGUCUUCACUGACUCAGUAACGAAGCUAACGCGUGAAGUUGACCGCCUGGGGAGUACGGCCGCAAGGUUG